UGGUUCUGGCAUCGAUGAAGAACGCAGCGAAAUGCGAUAAGUAAUGUGAAUUGCAGAAUUCAGUGAAUCAUCGAAUCUUUGAACGCACAUUGCGCCCCCUGGUAUUCCGGGGGGCAUGCCUGUUCGAGCGUCAUUUAUACCAAUCUAGCCUGGCUAGGUGUUGGGCUCCGCCGGUCGGCGGGCCUUAAAACCAGUGGCGGUGCUCUCAGGCUCUACGCGUAGUAAACUUCUCGCUAUAGAGUACUAGGUGACGCUAGCCAGCAACCCCUAAUUUUUCAGGUUGACCUCGGAUCAGGUAGGGAUACCCGCUGA
rnacentral:misc_RNA from 1 species